rnacentral:rRNA from 1 species
GGGAGGCAGCAGUAAGGAAUAUUGGACAAUGGGGGCAACCCUGAUCCAGCCAUCCCGCGUGCAGGAAGACUGCCCUAUGGGUUGUAAACUGCUUUUGUACAGGAAGAAACCCUUGGAUUUAUCUGAGGCUGACGGUACUGUAAGAAUAAGCACCGGCUAACUCCGUGCCAGCAGCCGCGGUAAUACGGAGGGUGCAAGCGUUAUCCGGAAUCACUGGGUUUAAAGGGUGCGUAGGUGGAUACAUAAGUCAGAGGUGAAAGACUUGAGCUUAACUGAAGAAUUGCCUUUGAAACUGUGUAUCUUGAAUGAGGUUGAGGUUAGCGGAAUGUGACAUGUAGCGGUGAAAUGCAUAGAUAUGUCAUAGAACACCAAUUGCGAAGGCAGCUAGCUAGGCCUGUAUUGACACUGAGGCACGAAAGCAUGGGGAGCGAACAGGAUUAGAUACCCUGGUAGUCCAUGCCCUAAACGAUGUUUACUCGAUGUUUGGAUUUAAUUUGAGCAUCCAAGGGAAACCGUUAAGUAAACCACCUGGGGAGUACGUUCGCAAGGAUGAAAUCUCAAA